rnacentral:rRNA from 1 species
AGAGUUUGAUCAUGGCUCAGGACGAACGCUGGCGGCGUGCUUAACACAUGCAAGUCGAACGGAAAGGCCCUUCGGGGUACUCGAGUGGCGAACGGGUGAGUAACACGUGGGUGAUCUGCCCUGCACUUUGGGAUAAGCCUGGGAAACUGGGUCUAAUACCGAAUAGGACCACGCGCUUCAUGGUGUGUGGUGGAAAGCUUUUGCGGUGUGGGAUGGGCCCGCGGCCUAUCAGCUUGUUGGUGGGGUAAUGGCCUACCAAGGCGACGACGGGUAGCCGGCCUGAGAGGGUGACCGGCCACACUGGGACUGUGAUACGGCCCAGACUCCUACGGGAGGCAGCAGUGGGGAAUAUUGCACAAUGGGCGCAAGCCUGAUGCAGCGACGCCGCGUGAGGGAUGACGGCCUUCGGGUUGUAAACCUCUUUCAAUAGGGACGAAGCGCAAGUGACGGUACCUAUAGAAGAAGCACCGGCCAACUACGUGCCAGCAGCCGCGGUAAUACGUAGGGUGCGAGCGUUGUCCGGAAUUACUGGGCGUAAAGAGCUCGUAGGUGGUUUGUCGCGUUGUUCGUGAAAACUCACAGCUUAACUGUGGGCGUGCGGGCGAUACGGGCAGACUAGAGUACUGCAGGGGAGACUGGAAUUCCUGGUGUAGCGGUGGAAUGCGCAGAUAUCAGGAGGAACACCGGUGGCGAAGGCGGGUCUCUGGGCAGUAACUGACGCUGAGGAGCGAAAGCGUGGGGAGCGAACAGGAUUAGAUACCCCGGUAGUCCAA